rnacentral:rRNA from 1 species
GACGAACGCUGGCGGCGUGCUUAACACAUGCAAGUCGAACGAAGUGGCGAACGGGUGAGUAACGCGUAAUCAACCUGCCCUUCAGAGGGGGACAACAGUUGGAAACGACUGCUAAUACCGCAUACUGAAGGUGGGGCUUGCGUCUGAUUAGCUAGUUGGAGGGGUAACGGCCCACCAAGGCGAUGGGCAGUAGCCGGGCUGAAGGGAAUGACGUCUAACUUGGGACUGAGAAACGGCCCAGACUCCUGCAGGAGGCAGCGGUGGGGAAUCUUCCGGAAUGGAGGAAAGUCUGACGGAGCAACGCCGCGUGAGUGAUGACGGCCUUCGGGUUGUAAAGCUCUGUUAAUCGGGACGCGGUACCGGAAUAGAAAGCCACGGCUAACUACGUGCCAGCAGCCGCGGUAAUAC